UAACCUCGAGUAAGCGGGGAAAAGGGACUCACCGUGAGUUGCAUGUUCGUCCCACGUGAUCCCACGAUUCUCAACCAAAAGUUCUGUCGACCUGGCAUUGCUACCAGUUGAUCAAACUUCAAUGCCAAUCAUCAACUAACCUCGAUCGAAGAAGGGGGGAAAGGAUGCCGAGUUGCAUGCGCUGUUUCCAUGUGGUCCUUAAUAUAAUUAUAAGUUGAGAAGAAGGCAUCCAAGUGCAUCCACGCAUACAAACACAGACCCUAUAUCCCACUCGAACCGUACUACAUCAGCGUAUUUCACAGUGGACUCUAUGUACCAUACACUCAGGCAUUAUAAGGUAUAUAUCGGUGAGUAAUAACAAAAAGAUUUGAAAGUCAAAGAUCCCACUAAAAGUAAAAUCUUCAUGUGAUAUCUUUGUAGAGGAGUUGUGCUAACCAAAGAUAACCACGCAACGCAAUUAGCAAGGGAGUAAGAAGUGUUGUUUUUAUACUCAACGAGACAAUUAAGCACCUCUUUUUCCAAUGUAAGUUUGCAUGUUCUACGUGAUCAGUCAUCCUAAUAGCAUCAAACUUAUACCCGCCUACAAGUGUUAUCAAUAUUUUUGGUCACUGAUUGGACAGUAUUUCAAAUAGGUUCAAGACGAUGAUAAGGGUGGAAGCGUAUGCCUUAAGUUGAUCGCUUUGGCUAUGUAGAAAUGAUUUGAUUUUUAAUGAUAAAAAUGCAUCUCCUCAGAAGGUUAUUUUCCAAUGUACACAAUUGCUUCGUAUGUUGUCUAUGCUACAACGGCCAGAAUACCAAUCGCUGUUCAAGGCGGGGUGUACGCGCUUGGAGCAGAUGGUUAUGAAGGUUUUUUCCCAACGAAGGUGGCAGCAUAACCUUCGCAUCUGCGGACCACCACCUUCGACAUAGGCAUAGUGCCGGUCUACAGGACUCUACUGUUGCCGAUAUGUCAGUUUCGUUUUAUUUAUUUAUUUGUUGCUGACAGAUUUUAAGGUUUGCCUGUGUGCAUUCUAGCUAUAUAGAGACUGGAUGUUACUCAUAUUAUCGCUUGAUGCUACAUUUUAAGAUAAUAAAAGCCUCCUUUAUGAAAAAAAAACAAACACACACCCAACUUUCAACAAAGCGUCAUUUUUACAGCCAAGUCAAAGUCCUUGUCUCAAACGUUAACCCCUCAAGAUCUGAGCCUGCUGAAGUGCUUGACACUCCCAAGACUGUUAUUUUUCUAUUGAUAUAAGCAUGGCAUGUUACUCCGAUGCAUUGAGAUAGUGACAGUCAGCUCGGUCAUUUGAGACGACGCAUUUUCAUGGCCUGUCAGUGACCAGGCCGUUUGUCCCGGCAUAUGUAAGGGAGGUUUCGAUUCCCAUGUCAUGUUAGAAGCUCAGUGAGGCCUUGUUCGGUUACAUCUCUUCUUAAGAGGAUUGGACCUCCUAAACCCCUCUCAACCGAACAAGGCCUGAGAGAUUUGGUUUCCCAUGUGUUAGAAAAACCUCGGCCAUGGAUCUAUCAGAUAAUGGCUGCAUGCAUCAUCAUGAUGCAGAAGCUGGGGAUGAUCCUCAUUUUCAAAAAAAAUAUAGAUCUAUCAGAUACCAGAAAAGUGUUAUGAGCCUUCUAGUUGUAGACGAGUUUAUGGUUGAUAAUAGAGCAAGAGUCAUCCAACAUCGGGGCGGGAGUGAUUAAUGGCAGCAUUAAUUUAUUUCAAACACUGGUCACAACCUAAAACAAGUUUUUGUAUUUGAUGCACGUCCAAAUGGGGUAUAUGAUGCAUGGUUUUCAAUUUCAGUUUAGAAAUAAUUUCAGCACCAACCGAAAUCACUGAAAUUCACUGAAAUUCAGUAAUUGCAGUUUGCAUUUCAGCCAAAGGACCGAAAUAUUCAUUUGAAUUUAAUUAAAUAUUUGAAAAUUUCAAAAAAUAAAUUGAAAAAUAUUUGAUUUUCAAUGUACCACUGAAAUUGCUGAAAUAUUUUGGUCGAAACGUAAUAUUUCAGUGUCUGCUGAAAUUAAUGAAAUUCAGUUAAAAUCUCACUGAAAAUGAAAACCAUGAUACGAUGAGAAAACCUAGAACCGCCAAAGCGGCGACCGGAUCACCGGAGAUACCAAAGGCGAAGGUACACGCCACAGAGAUGGAGAGAUCCCUCACCAUGCAUGUUAUGCGGCGUAUGUCACUUCUAGACGGCUCCUUCUUCAUUGUUAAGGAUUAAUUAGAUUUCUAAUAAUCCAUGCUUUAUGUCGGUUGUGUAGUUAGCAACCGUCAAGUUACUGCCUAUGCAGUUACCGUCUUGUACUGGGUAUAAAUACCCCAACAUUCAUCAAUGAGAAAACAUUGUUCAUUCUAUCAUUCGCUUCCCCUCUCUCGUUUAUUCUUUAACACGUUAUCAGCACUUUUCGCUCUAUAUAGAAUAAGCACAACGCGACUUGCCUUUAGACGGCAGCCCAACCGGUCACGCAAGCGGCCGGCCUGCGGCAGGGUAGCCAUCCGCGGUGGCGCGAUGAGGCAGGCGAACUUCAACGAGAAACGGCGACCACGAGCCACAUGGCUAUCGCAACAUCGACGCCCUCCGGCUCGACGGCGGCACGGCUUCAACGCCAGCUUGACCUCGUCGGCUCCCAGAUCGUUGUCAGGAAAUUUGGCAAUGUACGCAUCCUUUAAUGGAACAUAAGAAGAGAAAAGAUGAACAGAAAAGAAGGAAGAGCAAGGACGUUGGCAUCCACGACUAAUGGUUCGAAGAUCCAUACCAAGUACUACUUCGUGGCCUUCGUGGUGGCAUCGUCGACCCGGCACACCACUGACGCAGACCCUCAACGCAGCGCGUGGCAGCGUGGUGUCGUCGGCAUGGCGCGGGGCGCUCGACUGGAUGUGGCACAUCAGCGGGUCUUGCGGCCGCCGGCUGCGAGACGCGGUAGUGCUACGUUACUACGCGUGUACGCGCAGUAGCACGAAUGCACGACGGCUGCUGCCGGAUGCGAGCCGUGGAGGUGGGGCUCCCACCGGCCCAAGGCGGCGCCCUCCGGUGCGGCGGUGGCCUCUGCGUACAAGGGGAGCAGCCGAACGAAAUUGAUUCGUAUCCUCAAGCAGGAAUCGAUAAGAAAUCUUAUCCCUUUGGAUAUUUUGCAAUUUAGUGCUUGGAAUUCAUCCAACUACACACAAGUCCAUGAAA
rnacentral:lncRNA from 1 species